UCCUUUUUACUGCCAAAGAGUGUCAAAAAA
rnacentral:piRNA from 1 species